rnacentral:rRNA from 1 species
GCGGAACACGUACGCAACCUACCCAAACUGGGAUAGCCCGGGGAAACCCGGAUUAAUACCCCGUAACAUAUUGAGAAGGCAUCUUUUUAAUAUUAUAGCUCCGGCGGGUUUUGGAUGGGCGUGCGGCUGAUUAGGUAGUUGGCGGAGUAAUAGCCCACCAAGCCUACGAUCAGUAACUGGUGUGAGAGCACGACCAGUCACACGGGCACUGAGACACGGGCCCG